GACGGGGCCCGCACAAGCGUGGAGCACGUGGUUUAAUUCGAUGCAAACCGAAGAACCUUACCUGGCCUUGACAUUGAUAGAAUCUGGUAGAGAUACUGGAGUGCUAGCUUGCUAGAACUUGAAAACAGGUGCUGCACGGCUGUCGUCAGCUCGUGUCGUGAGAUGUUGGGUUAAGUCCCGCAACGAGCGCAACCCUCGUCGUUAGUUGCUAACAGUUAGGCUGAGAACUCUAACGAGACUGCCUUCGUAAGGAGGAGGAAGGUGAGGACGACGUCAAGUCAUCAUGGCCCUUACGGCCAGGGCUACACACGUGCUACAAUGGGGUGUACAGAAAGCUGCAAUAUCGCGAGAUGGAGCAAAUCUCAAAAACACCUCCCAGUUCGGAUUGUUCUCUGCAACUCGAGAACAUGAAGUUGGAAUCGCUAGUAAUCGUAGAUCAGCAUUGCUACGGUGAAUACGUUCCCGGGUCUU
rnacentral:rRNA from 1 species